CCUACGGGAGGCUGCAGUGAGGAAUAUUGGUCAAUGGUCGGGAGACUGAACCAGCCAAGCCGCGUGAGGGAUGAAGGUACAGAGUAUCGUAAACCUCUUUUGUCAGGGAACAAAGGCGGGGACGUGUCCCCGGAUGAGUGUACCUGAAGAAAAAGCAUCGGCUAACUCCGUGCCAGCAGCCGCGGUAAUACGGAGUAUGCGAGCGUUAUCCGGAUUUAUGGGGUUUAAAGGGUGCGCAGGCGGUCUGUUAAGUCAGCGGUCAAAGCUCGGGGCUCAACCCCGGACCGCCGUUGAAACUGGCAGUCUCGAGUUGGAGAGAAGUAUGCGGAAUGCGCGGUGUAGCGGUGAAAUGCAUAGAUAUCGCGCAGAACUCCGAUUGCGAAGGCAGCAUGCCGGCUCCACACUGACGCUGAGGCACGAAAGCGUGGGUAUCGAACAGGAUUAGAUACCCGUGUAGUC
rnacentral:rRNA from 1 species